GGCAAAGCAAUGAAUGGUUGAAGUAAUCCACUUUGUCAAAUCUCCUGCGGCAGACCAGACAUUUCAUUAUACGGACAUAAUAAACACUCAAAGCCCGGAAGAAGACAAGCGCUCUUAUUUUCGUUCCACUUCCUGUCUGGCUCCACCAGUCCUCUGGCCUGAACCCUGUCCCCCUCACCUGUUCUGAUUGGCAAUCUGGGCACACCCGUUUCGGAUUGCCGGCCCUUCAGACAGUAGCUUCGGACAAUCCACUACACAAAUUGGCGUCACGAACAGGAUGGCCCAGAAGCUAUAGGUCGACAGCCGCUCCCGCUCUCUCUGUCAGGCAGACAGUGUGUUGCACGCGCGCAUCACAAGGUCAAACAACGGCACCUAUUUUAAGAAAACAGGUUAUCGUCUUCAGUCACAAGAUCAGCACUUCUCAGGACCAGCAGCUUCCUAGGAAGGCGGAAAGACCAUGAGACCAAAAUGGUAUGUUUGCAAAAUGUAGAAUUUGUGUGCCAGUUCCUCUGUGCAGAUUUGAGGAUGAAAGCAGCCACUCCAGAUUCCCUUGCACUCGCUAAGAGGGGCACGGUCAAAGCCAAUCCAGGACCAACACCCGAUACCUGACUGGAAGGAACCGAGAGGAGAGACAACACCUUGCCAGCGAUGACGAGAACGACUAAGGUUGCCAGCCAAUAUGUGUCCGUCGGGACUCCAGCAGCUGUGGAAGGAGGUGUCGGGAGUGCCGAAGCGGCAAGGAGGCCUUGAAGCAAGCCAAGGGCCUGGACCAAAGACCCAAUGCCCCAUACUUUUUCUCAGCUUUUCCCCAAUUUCGGCCAGCACAGACAUGCCAUUGCACAGUCUGCCCAAUGGACUGAACCACACCCCAAGAAGAGACAGAGACAGACUGUUUGAGUGGAUCUCUUUCUUCACCAAGGCAGCCAAAAGCCCAACGAGGUGUCGGCAGGCCACCAGCCUGAGGCACCACCGAGCCAUCUAUACGAGCACUAACCGAACAUGGACUCAUACGAAAUUCAGUUGUGUGUUCAAAAUCAAUUGGUAAUUAACAAUAUUGGUAACUACAUUCAUUGCAAAUGCCGGAAAAAAUAUUUUUGCAAAUGUCUUACAGUCAUAAGUCUAUAUACAUUCAUCUAAUUAUGUUCAUGAUCAAAGUAUUUGUUAUUCCUUUACUAAAUCAAAGGGUAGGCCACUAAUUGUGUUCUGUGAGAUGGUUUUACUGCAGGCUGGUAACAGCGAUCGCUCUGAAGGAGGGUCAUAGACGGAAUUUUUGCCUCGUAUAAAAACAUUGAGGUUUUUGCCUCUAUCUGUGGUAGAGAUUUAAUUUAGUGGUCUACAUCAGAAAUUGUUUUGGUCCAGGGUCUUAGGACCCUGGAAGGAGGGUAUGUCGUAGAAUUUCUGACCUUUUGACCUAUAUUUCUUGUCUAUUAAGAAUGUCCGCUCAUUUUCAAUUCUCUUCUAUUUUGUGCCAUUGAAUGGACCAGUUGUGGGAUGAAGGUGAAUAUGGAGUUAUGCCAACCUGUCUACAGAAUGUUUAGAUUUUCCAAAUAUGACUAAGAGUUUUGGAACAGACAAACCAAAACAAAACAAUCAUGACGCACAAGAUAAAAACAGUGACGCACGAGAUAAAAAACAGUGACGCACAAAAGACAUAUAAAAAAUGGCAGAAGACCGGGACUAUAGAGAGAUUUUGGCUUGUGUGUGUCUUGUUUGCUCCGGAGUACAUGUGGUCUGUCUGCACGGCCAACUCAAUUCAACCUGCACUUCUGAUAAUGGGUAAAUAAAUUUGUUGUACUAAACUACUUUUGUUGCCUGCUUAAGCUUCGGACAAUCCUUGAUCACCCCCUGGGAGGUGAGGGGAGCAGUGGGAAGCAGCGGUGGCCGCGCCCGGGAAUCAUUGUUUUGGUGAUUUAGCCCCCAAUUCCAACCCUUGAUGCUGAGUGCCAAGCAGGGAAGUAAUGGGUCACAUUUUUACAGUCUUUGGUAUGACUCAACUGUUCGAAAUGCCACAAUAAAGACUCUCCUUACCUGCAGGUAAUCUCAUGUCUCCACAACUUGGGGUCAGAACUACAAAUCCCUGUUUUUCAGGACCCAUUUUUGGACAAUUAAACCCGAAAAUAAACUUCUUUGCCAAAAAUCCUGGUUGUAAUGUCGGUCAAACAACAACAGGUAGAUUACGGCAAAGAAGAAUAUACAGUAGUAUCUACAUUUAUGAGCUUAAUUUGUUCUGUGCCUUUCUUUAAAUUGUGCCUAUCGUUGACAAUCAUUGUGAAAGAAAUGACGACGGAUGGAUUUUUUUUUUUAUAAAUUCUAACUUGUAAAUACAAGUAAAUUAAAGUUUGCUUACAGCGGCGCCAAUGGGAGCUUCUCUAUUUUGCCCAUACAAUCCAAGAAAUAAACAUUCAAAAACCGCCAACAAUACUCCAUUUACAUUUCGGGAUUAGAAUUUUCACAGAAUAUUAGUGAUAUUGUUAUCUUAAGCGCUAACGCAGACAAACUAUUUAUAGCGGCGCCGUGAUCACGAGAUUGUGUCCCUAUGUUUAUGUCAUCGAGUUGUGUGCUGCCUUCUCAGUUCCUUGUUCCCUGUAAAUUUAUUCUAGAUCAUAAAUCAUGCACCUCACUUGGACAGAAGAAGUCUGAGUAGGUAUUCCGACAAGUUGGUACACUUUGACAGCCAUUUAGGACCCGAAACAAAGACGCUUGGUCUAUAUGAACAUCCUAGCAGUACAGUAAGUGAUGUUUCAUUAUGUUUGUUUGCUCUCAUAAAGUCUGCAGUGAGCAGAAGAAAUCAGUGAUGAAGAAAAAAAAAAGCAAAAGUCAUGAUUUGUUUUUUAAAUUGAUGCACCGUGUGUGCUUAAAAUGAUCAAAUACGUAAAUGAUAAAUAUUAAAUAUUAUAAACGUGCCCGUUAUUACAUUACAUACAGUAUAUACUUACAUCAUGUAUAUAAAACCUAAUGGAGGUGUUUGGAUGUUUUUUAUGGUCUUUAUAGGCAGAAUUGUGUGGCUCUCACAGGUCUCACAGGCUUCAUUGUAAGCAAACGUUUGAUAGCAUUUAGUUAAUAUUGAGAAUGCAAAAAACACAAAAAACAUCCAUCAUCAUGUUUCUCAUAAUGAUUGUGAACGAUAGGCUAAAUUCCAAAAGAAAGUGCGGUCCACCUUUAACUCAAAACAUUUAUUUCUCAAAUCAACACCUCCCAUUCGAAUGCAUUUGAAUGCUUGCCCCCCCCCCCCC